rnacentral:sRNA from 1 species
UUUCGAGACUCGAAUGUCCAGUGUGUCCUUGCAGUCGGGGAGCCGGGCUGGUAGAAUGCGCAGAAGCCAAAUGUGAGCUGGAAGCGUGCCAGCACAAAUGCACAGAGGCGCUUCUCAGCGAAGAAGCAUUGUUUCUGUGAGUAAAUGCCAAGGCUGGCCCUGGGCUAAUUGAAAUGAGCAGCUGCGUGGGUCACAGGAAGAAAUGAAGCUGGGACCUCUUGAACAGAAUCUCAAACUUGAUGCCAUUAUCGGGGAGAAGAGUGUUUGGGGUCUGCCAAGGGUUCCUCUCAGUCACGGGUAACUUGGAACUCGGCCAUUUCUGGAGGCGAGGUUCUUUCCUCCUGGGAUUCUCUGGCAUUGUGCUCGUUCAUAAAACUGGACAUCGCUCCUCUUCACGAGGCCACAGACUCAAAACAAUCCUCUGGAGGCAGUGCUGGCUGGGUCCCCCUGAGGGAGGUACAUUUCUGGUGUCUCUUUUUUUCCUUACCUGUUUCUAGGUGUGGAGGGUGAGAAGAAUGACGUAAGAUGUAGAGGCUGAGUGAGCUCUUGGUGUAGGCAAGGGAUGAGUCUUUAAAUGAUAGGUGCCAACCUCCCUGUAUCAGAUAGUGUAGAGCUGUGAGUUUUCUUCCCAUAUGUACAUAUCGAGGCUCAUUUUUAAGAGGGUUUGCUUUUUAAUUUUUUUCCCCUGAUGGUUAGGACACAUUAGUAGUGUGAAUUUCUUUCUGAGUUAUCAUGCGUAUGCGCCCCCCUACUCUAGUGCCUUCCUGUGUUCUUACUUCCUGUGUUCAUACUUCCUGUGUUCUUACUUCCUGUGUUCUUACUUCCUGUGUUCAUACUUUCUGUGUUCUUACUUCCUGUGUUCAUACUCCCUGUGUUCUUACUUCCUGUAUUCUUACUUCCUGUGUUCUUACUUCCUGUGUUCAUACUUUGAGAACUUUGACCUUUAAUUCAAGUUUUGGUCUCUGUUGUCCUUUCCGUAAGCUCUCUUUCUGGGUCUUUUGUUUUUCAGUGGUUCAAUAACUCUACAUUGACCUGUUCUUUUGGUUUCCUCAUUGCUUUAAAUAUCCCUUCUUAUUAGCCUCUACCUAGUAGCCUAUUCUCAGGUAUUUUGCAUUUGUAUGUGCUGCGCACAUGUAUGUAUUCGGUAUGCAUGCACUACUGUGACAGAUGCCAAAGGUUGACAGUGUUUUCCUGCACCAUUAUGUAUUGAGGCCGGCCCUCUCACUUGAACCCAGAACUUGCUGGUUUGGAUGGCUCAACUAGUCAGCUUGCUCCAGGGUGGCCCUAGGGCUGGAAUUGUAAGUGGGCAGGCAUACUCACCAAGCAUUCUGAGGUUUUGCAGUCCGGUACUCAUGAUUGCAUACCAACGCUUUACCCUGUGAGCGAUCUCUUCAGUUCCUAGUCUUCAGUUUUUACCACACACCCAGUGGAAAACUGACAUUCACAUUCCUCCAAGUGGACCUGCAAUGAAAAAGAUACAUCUACUAUGGCCAUCAAUUAAUAACUAGCUCCCAAAUCCAUUAGCUAUGGACUUGGUGUUUAAUAUGUCCAACUACUGACUGAAUACAACAUGAAAAAGAUAUCUGGGGCUAUAUUGAUGCUUAGCCAUCUGGGGAGGAUUUUCUGAGAAUUCUAAAGGGUACUGCAUGUAUAGAUGAUUGGGUCGGUUGUACAGUAUCUUUUUAACAUAAGAGAUGUGGACACUCACAUUCAUCUGUGAGACAAUCAAGACGCACUAACAUCAUUUGAAUUCCUUAGUAAUUAGGAAUUCCUUAGUAAUUAGGCCAGAAAAUGGAACAGGUACACAGUGCAACCAUAUGGGUUGCCAAUAGAUUAGCGAACUUCAUGAAUCAGAGUGCAUUUUUUUUUACCAGAAAAAAUUGGCUCUUGAUGUAUCAUCUACAGAACACCAACAAUAUGUGGUCUGGUAUUCAUUAACGGCAGAUUCAUAUACUCCACACCAGGCCGUGGUGACUCCCGAGCCCCACAACUGAGAAAAGAAAUAAGCGUGAGAAGCAUAAGAAAUGUUUUGAGAAAAGCCACCAAGAUUAUCUAAGUUUUAGAAAAGUAAGGCCUUUGAGGAAAGGUCAGAGGCUGGGGAUUAUUCUGGAUAAAGAAUGAUUUUGAGAUGAUCUGUGAGUAUUUUGAGUUUUCUCAUUCAGAGAACAGUUUGUUAAGCACCUCUUUUCUCUGUCACCACUAAAGGCUAAAAGUGGAGCAGAGAGGAUUUGCAGGGGGAGGGGCCAUGAGGAAGACCAUCCAGCUGUGCCCUUCUGCUGCCCCACCUAGCACCUCAGGGCCUUGGUGUGUGCUGCAGUUCUCCUGGGAGCCAGGGAGACCGUAGCUUUCCCUCUUGCUGGCAUGGAGUCCAUAGAAUAAUCUAGUUUCUCGUCAGAGAUUUUAAACUCAAACUGUUAAAGAAAAGUGAUUUGAUCCACUUAGGUUUUUGGGUUCUUUCCCCCCUGCAGUACAGAGGAACAAAUCUAGAGUUUUUUACAGUCUAGGAGAAGCUCUACACAAGCAAGCUACACUUCCUUUUUUCUUUUCUUUUUGCUUA